CUAACAUUUUGUUUUCAGCAGCUUGUUUUUUUCUUUCUCAGAGCCCAUAUCUUCAGCAUAUUCACAGAGUCUUUAGGCAAUGCCAACCAGGAAGGUCUCUGAUCUGAGCCUAAAUGUACUGUAUAUGCACACUGAGAAGGCAGGAUGUCCAAGCCAUGCAAGUGACUCAAAAUAGAUUUUUUAUGUGUGGCAGAAGAACAGAUGGCUUCUUUGUUAGGUGAUGCUUUCUUUUUUAUUUGUUCACCACCUCUUCCAUAAGAGUUUAAUCCACAAAAUAAUAGUGUAUUUGCUAAUAUACAAAAGCUAGAAAAUAUUGAAAGCUUCAAAUCAUAGCCAUGCAUAUAUAAGUGGUUAUUUCAGUAGUGGAUCUAGACCAUAUCAAACCACAUAAUAUCCCCUAAUUCUAAACAGAGGAUACUGAAGGAUGAAAGAAGGAAGAAAUCUGAGAACAGUUACAGACCACUGGUUCCAGGAGUCUGCUGGCAGCAGGAUUGGUGCUUCACACUCAUCGUGUGAAGCAAAAUCGUCAACAAAAUCGUCUUGUUCUGCUGACCAGCCCUGGCUACUGAAGAUUGCCCCAGGAAUGGUAGUUCUUGUUAGAUAUGGAAGGGUUAAUGAGGCCUUCCUUUUUAUAAGAUGAUUAAGCUUGACAGUCUGGCUCAUGAGAUUGCACAACCUAACCCCACAAGUUAAUGAACCACGUAACUAACUGCUGCCAAGUCCAUGCCAGUUAGGAUUGCAUACAUUCAUGUCAAG
rnacentral:lncRNA from 1 species